rnacentral:rRNA from 1 species
CCCUUAGAUGUUCUGGGCCGCACGCGCGCUACACUGACCAGUGCAACAAGCAUCCGUCCUUGGCCGACAGGCCCGGGCAAUCUUUGAACGCUGGUCGUGAUGGGGAUAGACUUUUGCAAUUUUUGGUCUUCAACGAGGAAUUCCUAGUAAACGCAAGUCAUCAACUUGCAUUGAUUACGUCCCUGCCCUUUGUACACACCGCCCGUCGCUCCUACCGAUUGAAUGGUCCGGUGAAGCGUUCGGACCGUGGCCUUUGGACGGUUCGCCGUCUGUUGGCUGCGGGAAGUUCGUUAAACCUUAUCAUUUAGAGGAAGGAGAAGUCGUAACA